GAACAACAAAUGUUACUUAUCUGUGUCCUCUGCCAUGAAGAUGUGGAGCCUGGAUGGACAGUCCCUUGGAGCAAUGCCGAAGGGUCUGAAGCCCCAUGGAAAUCCAGUCCCCUCCAAGGGGAGGGAGGUCUCGCUCUCUGGAUCCAUCCUCCUCCACCCCCUCCCAACCCCAGGCCUGCUGAAUCAGGAUCCUUGCUGGUGAGGCCAGAAAUCUGUGCUUUUAACAGGGUUCCCAGUUGGUUUUUAGACACACUGAGGCUUGGAAACUUCUUUUUUUCUUUCUUUUUUUUUUUUUUUGAGGAAGAUUAACCCUGAGCUAACAUCUGCUGCCAAUCCUCCUCUUUUUGCUGAGGAAGACUGGCCCUGAGCUAACAUCCGUGCCCAUCUUCCUCUACUUUAUAUGCGGGACGCCUACCACAGCAUGGCUUGCCAAGCAGUGCCAUGUCUGCACCGGGAUCCGAACCCGCGAAGCCCAGGCCGCUGAAGUGGAACAUGCACACUUAACUGCUGUGCCACCGGGCCCGCCCGAGGCUUGGCAACUUCUGCCCUUGGUUCUCUCCCUCAAAUAAAGGAAGGACUCAGAUUGACCA
rnacentral:lncRNA from 1 species